rfam:Schistosoma mansoni, Puerto Rico, WGS project CABG01000000 data, contig: 0094
AUCCAGCUGACGAGUCCUAAAUAGGACGAAACGCGCGUUCUGGAU